AGUCUAUGUAUGUAUGUAUAUAUAAUAUAUGUAUGUAUGUGUCCAUAUUCUAUGUGUUCCAAUGUAGCGCUUAAACUACUCGGCCGAUUUUGAUGAAUGAGGUGUCAAUUGAUUCGUUGUAAAGGUCCGGGUAAUAUAGGCUAGGUAUAU